GCAACGAUGUGCUUGUUUGAUCGUAUGUUUUUGCGUUUGCUGUAACGAAAUGUGACUUAGUUCGCGUGCGCAUAAGUGCCACAGACAGCUUGUGUAUCGCUGCAAACUCGCCGUGUGCAUGGCGCGCCAGCCAAAUGUGGACCAACGAUGUUCAUGCCGUGGAGUGCGUUCCCUUCGUCUCUGGUUGUCGUGGAAAGUUGGGUGGACGUCGCGAAGAAAUAAUGCGUAUCGUUAGCGUGCCACUGCUCUUCCACUAUGCAACGGCACGUCUGCUGGGAGUAACAUCGAAGCACCGACAACUUGGAGGGUUCUUUUCGACCGCGUCGUGCCAUUCAAAGGGGUACACGUGUACUUACCUCAAGAUGACGACACUCCACCUCAAGAACAGCUUCUCCUCAAUGAUAAGUAGCGAUAUUAAAUGAAAGGAAAAUAUCACAUCCGUGACCAGUCUGAUACUUUGUUUUCCUAUAAUUUAACCUCCUUCUGCUUUUAAGGAAGCAUUGAUAGGCCCAAUAAAUGUUUUUGUUAAAUUUC